UAUUGGACAAUGGGCGCAAGCCUGAUCCAGCCAUGCCGCGUGGAUGAUGAAGGCCCUAGGGUUGUAAAGUCCUUUCGGCGGGGAAGAUAAUGACGGUACCCGCAGAAGAAGCCCCGGCUAACUUCGUGCCAGCAGCCGCGGUAAUACGAAGGGGGCUAGCGUUGCUCGGAAUCACUGGGCGUAAAGCGCACGUAGGCGGACUCUUAAGUCGGUGGUGAAAUCCUGGAGCUCAACUCCAGAACUGCCUUCGAUACUGAGGGUCUCGAGUCCGGGAGAGGUGAGUGGAACUGCGAGUGUAGAGGUGAAAUUCGUAGAUAUUCCAAGAACACCAGUGGCGAAGGCGGCUCACUGGCCCGGUACUGACGCUGAGUGCGAA
rnacentral:rRNA from 1 species